rnacentral:rRNA from 1 species
GAUUAUGGCUCAGGAUGAACGCUAGCGACAGGCCUAACACAUGCAAGUCGAGGGGCAGCGCGGGAGAAGCUUGCUUUCCUGGCGGCGACCGGCGCACGGGUGCGGUAACAGGUGUGCAAUCUGGUCCAUAGUCGGGGGAUAGCCCAGCGAAAGCUGAAUUAACACUCCAUGUGAAUCGAAGCCGCAUGACUUUGAUUUGAAACGCAAGGACUAUGGGUGAGCACGCUUCUGAUUAGGUAGUUGGUGGGGUAACGGCCCACCAAGCCAACGAUCAGUAGGGGUUCUGAGAGGAAGGUCCCCCACAUUGGAACUGAGACACGGUCCAAACUCCUACGGGAGGCAGCAGUGAGGAAUAUUGGUCAAUGGGCGAGAGCCUGAACCAGCCAAGUCGCGUGAAAAGGAUGAAGGUUCUAUGGAUUGUAAACUUCUUUUGUCCGAGGGUAAAAAAGGCUACGUGUAGCUUCUUGCAAGUAUCGGACGAAUAAGCAUCGGCUAACUCCGUGCCAGCCGCAGC